GCCGAAGUGGCGGAACUGGCAGACGCGCUAGGUUCAGGACCUAGUGGUGGCAACGCCGUCGGGGUUCAAAUCCCCGCUUCGGCACCA
rnacentral:tRNA from 1 species